GGAGAGGUGACCGAGAGGCCGAAGGUGCACGACUGGAAAUCGUGUGGGCGUUAACGCGUCCCGUGGGUUCGAAUCCCACCCUCUCCG
rnacentral:tRNA from 1 species